rfam:Stegodyphus mimosarum contig37514, whole genome shotgun sequence.
GCUUUCGUGGUGUAGUGGUCAGCACGCUGCACGCGUAUUCCAGAGGUCUGUGGUUCGAGUCUCGGCGAAGGCG